rnacentral:rRNA from 1 species
AUACGGAGGGGGCUAGCGUUGUUCGGAAUUACUGGGCGUAAAGCGCGCGUAGGCGGGCUGGUUAGUUGGGGGUGAAAUCCCAGGGCUUAACCCUGGAACUGCCUCCAAUACUGCCAGUCUAGAGUUCGAGAGAGGUGAGUGGAAUUCCUAGUGUAGAGGUGAAAUUCGUAGAUAUUAGGAAGAACACCAGUGGCGAAGGCGGCUCACUGGCUCGAUACUGACGCUGAGGUGCGAAAGCGUGGGGAGCAAACAGGAUUAGAAACCCCGGUAGUCC